UUUGAUGUGUCAGAUAAAAAGGAUCUUUGUUUCAAACUCACUGGGAAACUGAGCCGGUUCUACUACCGGACUCUGGAACACAGACGUUAAAAGCCGACACAUGUAAACAUGAUGAAGAAAAGAAAUGAGAGUUAAAGAAGAGUCAGAGAGCCGUUUACCUGAAGGAGCAGCUGAGGCUCAGAUCCAGUCUGACACAAGAAAACGCUGACCAAGCUUUUUAUAUCCGUCAUUAAUCCAGAUGAGAUCAAUCCAGAACUAGACAAUCUGUUCCUAAAAUAAACCAAUGAUGUUACAAGUUGCUGCUGAAAUAUGUUACUGUUUGUUUGGUCCUGUCUUUGCACAAUGUAGCAGUUUUUAACGACAUGCAGCUCAUGUGAAUGUCCAGCUGCUGUUUAUAAAGAAGCAGAUCUUUGUCUACAAAGUCACUAAAUAAAAUAUAAAAUGGAAAAGAAACAGAA